CAAGUAUUUCUCAUCUUUUUAGGCUCUAGUGGAAGAGGUUGCCAUGCUUCCUGGAAAACUGGAGAAUCUGAGAGAGUGGUGUUCACUGUAUGGGUGCAGAGCCAACAGGGAGGAUGCCGUGAGCGCAAUCUGGGGUCAGGUGGCAAGAUUGCAGCGCUGUGCCAAUGAUCUGCAGACACGCUCAGAACAAUUGGAAGCAGAGUGGAGCAGUGUCACGAGGAGUGUGGAGCAGGCAGCCACUGUGUUGGAGCAAAUGGAUGCAGAACUUCCAGAUAGCAGCAGAGAGAAUCUGACUGGUGAUGAGCUGCAGGAACUGCUGCUCUUCUGGUCCCAGUACCAGGACAGGCUGGACUGUGAACAAAGAGCUCUCUCCGCUUUGGAAUUAAGAGCUGCAAGGUUGCUUGGCAUUCCCCCGGACCUGGAACAGGCCCCGCCCAUUGAGCUGUGCCAAGAGCUUCAAGCCUGGCAAGAACGUUACCAUAGUCUAAAGGAACGUAGCUCUCAGGGUCUGAGGGCAGUAAGAACAGAGGUGGAAGAGAGGGAACGAGUGCAGGAGCAGCUGGAAAGAGUCAGAGAAUGGCUGGAAUCUGCCGUCUCUCUCCUCGCUGUACUGGAGCACGAGCCCAGCAAGAAAGAACUACAGGUUAGUCACUUGUCUUGUGAUUGUGCUUUGUUAAG
rnacentral:lncRNA from 1 species